rnacentral:rRNA from 1 species
CCUACGGGAGGCAGCAGUGGGGAAUAUUGCACAAUGGGGGAAACCCUGAUGCAGCGACGCCGCGUGAGUGAAGAAGUAUUUCGGUAUGUAAAGCUCUAUCAGCAGGGAAGAAGAAAGACGGUACCUGACUAAGAAGCCCCGGCUAACUACGUGCCAGCAGCGGCGGUAAUACGUAGGGGGCAAGCGUUAUACGGAUUUACUGGGGGGAAAGGGAGCGUAGACGGCUGUGCAAGUCUGAAGUGAAAGCCCAGGGCUCAACCCUGGGACUGCUUUGGAAACUGUGGAGCUAGAGUGCUGGAGAGGUAAGUGGAAUUCCUAGUGUAGCGGUGAAAUGCGUAGAUAUUAGGAGGAACACCAGUGGCGAAGGCGGCUUACUGGACAGUAACUGACGUUGAGGCUCGAAAGCGUGGGGAGCAAACAGGAUUAGAUACCCGGGUAGUC